AGUGCCGCGUCCCAUUGCUGUCCGCUUUUCGUAGCUUUCAUCCCUAAGGCCCAGCACCAGGAGGCAGCAGCACGGCCUCGCUCCGUGGGAUCUGGCGUCGUUCCUUAGGCUGCAGUGAGUUGGCGCGGUCUCAGCGCAGCAGGGAGGGCCGUGCCAGCCCGUGCAGGCUCUGCCAGCCCCAGCCCCAGCCCCGAAAUGCCAGGAUAACACUGGAUUUGUACAGAUUUCCCUGCUGGAAUGGAAGGGAGGGAGGGAGGAAGUUUUAACUCUCCUUUUCCCUGCCAGUGUUGUUCUGCUCGGCAGCACAGAAGGGAUGGGAGUGGGUCACCCACAGCACGGAUGGGGCUGUGACCCCACUGCCACCCCUCCCCAAAAAGUCACCUAUUCACCAUUGCUCCAGUAGGAAACUUGGACUGUCCUCUGCUCCUCACGUUCCCCUGCAUCCUGCAGACAGUCUCAGCAAGUCCCUUAUGGCACACUUGGUUUCGGGGGGAAUGUGCUCCCCCAUCCCCUGCCCCGUGCCCCCUUAUCACCCAUCCCUGCUCUCAGCUCGGAGCUGUAAGCCCGGAGCACAGCAACCCCCCCUGCACUGAUGACUGCGAGGGGCUAUUGCAAAAGAGGGACUGCUUCACCCGCAUAUCUGCAGCCAGCUCCAGGGAGGGAUGUUUGGGACCCUGUGGGACCCUUUGGGGACCUCACGUCACCAUUGUUGGAUACCUGGCAGCACCCCUCGCUCCAUCCAUCCCGACACACAGCAGCAAGCACAAAGUAAAGUUAUCAGUAUGCCACGCUAAACCACUGCUGUCACGAGGCAGGAGCUGAUGUGGAACUUGAGGAUGACCCCAGCAAUGUCCCUGUCCCUGCCUGGCGGGACGCAGUGGGCUGGGAAGUGUCUGCCGGCACUGAUGGCCAUAAAAGGUCCUGAAACAGAGAACUCAGGAAGGAUCAUUUGGGAUGUGGGAAUGGGGCCUGGAGCUGGAUGGGGCGGUGGCACACAGCGUCUCUUCCCUGCUGCCCAUUUGGGAUCUGCAUCACCUCCCACACACGGCUCAGGGGAACAAUGCCAGCCAUUCAUUGGGGCACCUGGGUGGUGGGAGUGAGGUCGGAGUUCCCCCCCGACCCCACAGCCUCACCCCACAGACAAUAGCUGCCCUUUGUUGGGGUUUUCUGUGUCCCCUCCCUGCCACCCAGCCGGUGACAUUUACCACCUCCAUGUUUGCAAGGGGACUCAAAGGUCAUAAGAUGUGCUGCGGAAUCGCAAAGCACAGCAGGCGCCUCUGUGCUCUCCCAUCCGUUUGAGGUCCACUGGUGGGGAACGAAGGAUGAAGAAAGAUGAAAUGGGGACCUUUUCCAGUCUGGUGACAUUUGACCUUUUUGAGAUGAAUCCACUGCUACCCUGGGGAUACCUCACUGUGAGUGCAACACCAUGGAACGCCAGCCCCUAUGGGAUAUGCCAUGACUUCUAUCUCUCCAGAAAGGUCCCUGCUUCAAACUCCUGCUCCCUCCCAGACCCCCAGGGCAGUUCCCCCACGAAAUGGGCUCACAGCCCCGUUCUUCCUGGCCACCUCCAUGGGGUCCUUGGAAACACAACCCAUAAUAAACAGGCAGCCUGAGAGCUUAGAGAUAAA